rnacentral:rRNA from 1 species
UUGAUCUCAAAUCAGGUAGGACUACCCGCUGAACUUAAGCAUAUCAAUAAGCGGAGGAAAAGAAACUAACAAGGAUUCCCCUAGUAACUGCGAGUGAAGCGGGAAGAGCUCAAAUUUAAAAUCUGGCGUGCCUCUGGUCGUCCGAGUUGUAGUCUGGAGAAGCGUUUUCCGUG